CCCGCUGAACUUAAGCAUAUCAAUAAGCGGAGGAAAAGAAACUAACAAGGAUUCCCCUAGUAACUGCGAGUGAAGCGGGAAAAGCUCAAAUUUAAAAUCUGGUGGUCUUUGGCUGCCCGAGUUGUAAUCUAGAGAAGUGUUAUCCGCGCUGGACCGUGUACAAGUCUCCUGGAAUGGAGCGUUAUAGAGGGUGAGAAUCCCGUCUCUGACACGGACAACCGAUGCUUUUGUGAUACGCUCUCGAAGAGUCGAGUUGUUUGGGAAUGCAGCUCAAAAUGGGUGGUAAAUUCCAUCUAAAGCUAAAUAUUGGCGAGAGACCGAUAGCGAACAAGUACCGUGAGGGAAAGAUGAAAAGCACUUUGGAAAGAGAGUUAAACAGUACGUGAAAUUGUUGAAAGGGAAACGUUUGAAGUCAGUCGCGUCGGCCGAGACUCAGCCUCGCUUUUUCAGCUUGGUGCACUUCUCGGUUGACGGGUCAGCAUCAAUUUUGAUCGCCGGAAAAGGGCUGGGGGAAUGUGGCAUCUCUCGAGAUGUGUUAUAGCCCUCGGUUCGCAUACGGCGGUUGGGAUUGAGGAACUCAGCGCGCCUUUAUGGUCGAGGCUUUUGCCUACGCAACGCGCUUAGGAUGCUGGCAUAAUGGCUUUAAGCGACCCGUCUUGAAACACGG
rnacentral:rRNA from 1 species